UAAUAUGCUAUAUGUUCAUCAAAAGCUUCUUUAAUUUCUUGGUCAAAAUUUGAUAAAAGAAACUCAUGCUUUAGCAUAAUUUAAUUUGUCUAUAAAAUGUGUGCACCAUGCAGAUGAGAACUAAUAAUGGAGGAGGAGAGGCUACAACACGUGAAGUAAAGAAGAAAAGAUCAGAAGCAAUCUCAAAAAAGCCUAAGCAAGACACAUCAACAGCUUCUUCUUCAAUGAAAUGAUGAAGUCAUGAAGGAGAAAUUCUGAUUGGUUUUGUCAGAGAGUUUAGGAUGGAUCUCAGAGAACAAUGGAGGUUGAUCGACCCAGCGGUUCUACAACAUUUAAUAUGAUUGCAUUUUCUCUCUAGGAUAUGAUAUGUUGGUGAGUGUCUUUUUCAUUUCAAAGUUUCUUAUCAUGACAACAAGGAGAUUUUGUACCCUGCAUUAGAUCCUGCUGUGAACAUUCCUGUGUUCAAUUGUCAAUAUGAAUGGGUUUGGACUCACACACUUUCCAAAUAUGAAGCUCCUCACUACAAGUCGCAUGUUCCUAAAUGUGUUGGUCAAUAUCUAAUAGAAGCACGUCUUGACAGUUGGAUUUCAUCGGCCGUUCCGGAGCGAGGGUUGAGUGUCGUGUUAUUAUUCAUCUCACUCAUGCAUAUGUGAAGAUAGGCAGCGGAUGGAGAAAUUUCUGCAGAAUUAAUAAUGUGUUGCCAUUUGAUGAGUUGACCUUCAGGUUUACAAGUUCAGAUGCUAGGAUUGUUCAUGUUAAUUAAUUGGGCUUCUUAGGAUCUUAAGUUAGGGAAAUGUUUGUUAUCCAGUAUGCCUUCGCUGAUUUUUUUUUUGAACUGUUGUGUCCUACUGAAAUAUCAUGAGGGAAAUCGUUCUGGUGUCUCUUAUUCACUGGGGGCCAAGCUUAAAGAUAGUAUCGCUGUUUUUUGUUCACGGGAUACGUGAGUGACCAGUGAGGAUUGUCAUUUGGCCCUGCUGAACCUGAUUUUGUAGUGUCUGUAUGCAGCUUCACUGCUUUCUUUGAGACCUAUUAGUUGUAUGGUUUCCCUUUUUUCUUUGUGUUAGCUUUCCAUUUCUGUUUGUAAUGUUCCAUUGUUUGAGACUUUUUAUGUAAUGUACUAAUGUGACACCUAUGUAAUUUUGGCAUUUCCCUACCAUAUUUAUAAUAUGAGUUUUUUUUCCAAUAA